rnacentral:rRNA from 1 species
GAUGAACGCUGGCGGCGUGCCUAAUACAUGCAAGUCGAGCGAACAGAUGAGGAGCUUGCUCCUCUGACGUUAGCGGCGGACGGGUGAGUAACACGUGGAUCACCUACCUAUAAGACUGGGAUAACUUCGGGAAACCGGAGCUAAUACCGGGUAAUAUAUUGAACCGCAUGGUUCAAUAGUGAAAGACGGUUUUGCUGUCACUUAUAGAUGGAUCCGCGCCGUAUUAGCUAGUUGGUAAGGUAACGGCUUACCAAGGCAACGAUGCGUAGCCGACCUGAGAGGGUGAUCGGCCACACUGGAAGUGAGACACGGUCCAGACUCCUACGGGAGGCAGCAGUAGGGAAUCUUCCGCAAUGGGCGAAAGCCUGACGGAGCAACGCCGCGUGAGUGAUGAAGGUCUUCGGAUCGUAAAACUCUGUUAUUAGGGAAGAACAAAUGUGUAAGUAACUAUGCACGUCUUGACGGUACCUAAUCAGAAAGCCACGGCUAACUACGUG